CCGGCGAUGUCCGAAUGGGGAAACCCAGUGCAAUUCGUUGCACUAUCGUUAACUGAAUACAUAGGUUAACGAGGCGAACCGGGGGAACUGAAACAUCUAAGUACCCCGAGGAAAAGAAAUCAACCGAGAUUCCCCCAGUAGCGGCGAGCGAACGGGGAGCAGCCCAGAGUCUGAAUCAGCUUGUGUGUUAGUGGAACGGUCUGGAAAGUCCGACGGUACAGGGUGAUAGUCCCGUACACCAAAAUGCACAGGUUGUGAACUCGAAGAGUAGGGCGGGACACGUGGUAUCCUGUCUGAAUAUGGGGGGACCAUCCUCCAAGGCUAAAUACUCCUGACUGACCGAUAGUGAACCAGUACCGUGAGGGAAAGGCGAAAAGAACCCCGGCGAGGGGAGUGAAAAAGAACCUGAAACCGUGUACGUACAAGCAGUGGGAGCACCUUCGGGUGUGACUGCGUACCUUUUGUAUAAUGGGUCAGCGACUUAUAUUCUGUAGCAAGGUUAACCGUAUAGGGGAGCCGCAGGGAAACCGAGUCUUAACUGGGCGUUAAGUUGCAGGGUAUAGACCCGAAACCCGGUGAUCUAGCCAUGGGCAGGUUGAAGGUUGGGUAACACUAACUGGAGGACCGAACCGACUAAUGUUGAAAAAUUAGCGGAUGACUUGUGGCUGGGGGUGAAAGGCCAAUCAAACCGGGAGAUAGCUGGUUCUCCCCGAAAGCUAUUUAGGUAGCGCCUCGUGAACUCAUCUUCGGGGGUAGAGCACUGUUUCGGCUAGGGGGUCAUCCCGACUUACCAACCCGAUGCAAACUACGAAUACCGAAGAAUGUUAUCACGGGAGACACACGGCGGGUGCUAACGUCCGUCGUGAAGAGGGAAACAACCCAGACCGCCAGCUAAGGUCCCAAAGUCAUGGUUAAGUGGGAAACGAUGUGGGAAGGCACAGACAGCCAGGAUGUUGGCUUAGAAGCAGCCAUCAUUUAAAGAAAGCGUAAUAGCUCACUGGUCGAGUCGGCCUGCGCGGAAGAUGUAACGGGGCUAAACCAUGCACCGAAGCUGCGGCAGCGACACUAUGUGUUGUUGGGUAGGGGAGCGUUCUGUAAGCCUGCGAAGGUGACCUGUGAGGGUUGCUGGAGGUAUCAGAAGUGCGAAUGCUGACAUAAGUAACGAUAAAGCGGGUGAAAAGCCCGCUCGCCGGAAGACCAAGGGUUCCUGUCCAACGUUAAUCGGGGCAGGGUGAGUCGACCCCUAAGGCGAGGCCGAAAGGCGUAGUCGAUGGGAAACAGGUUAAUAUUCCUGUACUUGGUGUUACUGCGAAGGGGGGACGGAGAAGGCUAUGUUAGCCGGGCGACGGUUGUCCCGGUUUAAGCAUGUAGGCUGGUUGUCCAGGCAAAUCCGGAUAAUCAAGGCUGAGGUGUGAUGACGAGGCACUACGGUGCUGAAGUAACAAAUGCCCUGCUUCCAGGAAAAGCCUCUAAGCAUCAGGUAACAUCAAAUCGUACCCCAAACCGACACAGGUGGUCAGGUAGAGAAUACCAAGGCGCUUGAGAGAACUCGGGUGAAGGAACUAGGCAAAAUGGUGCCGUAACUUCGGGAGAAGGCACGCUGGUGUGUAGGUGAAGUCCCUGCGGAUGGAGCUGAGACCAGUCGAAGAUACCAGCUGGCUGCAACUGUUUAUUAAAAACACAGCACUGUGCAAACACGAAAGUGGACGUAUACGGUGUGACGCCUGCCCGGUGCCGGAAGGUUAAUUGAUGGGGUUAUCCGUAAGGAGAAGCUCUUGAUCGAAGCCCCGGUAAACGGCGGCCGUAACUAUAACGGUCCUAAGGUAGCGAAAUUCCUUGUCGGGUAAGUUCCGACCUGCACGAAUGGCGUAAUGAUGGCCAGGCUGUCUCCACCCGAGACUCAGUGAAAUUGAACUCGCUGUGAAGAUGCAGUGUACCCGCGGCAAGACGGAAAGACCCCGUGAACCUUUACUAUAGCUUGACACUGAACAUUGAGCCUUGAUGUGUAGGAUAGGUGGGAGGCUUUGAAGCGUGGACGCCAGUCUGCGUGGAGCCAACCUUGAAAUACCACCCUUUAAUGUUUGAUGUUCUAACGUUGGCCCCUUACCGGGGUUGCGGACAGUGUCUGGUGGGUAGUUUGACUGGGGCGGUCUCCUCCCAAAGCGUAACGGAGGAGCACGAAGGUUAGCUAAUCCUGGUCGGACAUCAGGAGGUUAGUGCAAUGGCAUAAGCUAGCUUGACUGCGAGCGUGACGGCGCGAGCAGGUGCGAAAGCAGGUCAUAGUGAUCCGGUGGUUCUGAAUGGAAGGGCCAUCGCUCAACGGAUAAAAGGUACUCCGGGGAUAACAGGCUGAUACCGCCCAAGAGUUCAUAUCGACGGCGGUGUUUGGCACCUCGAUGUCGGCUCAUCACAUCCUGGGGCUGAAGUAGGUCCCAAGGGUAUGGCUGUUCGCCAUUUAAAGUGGUACGCGAGCUGGGUUUAGAACGUCGUGAGACAGUUCGGUCCCUAUCUGCCGUGGGCGCUGGAGAAUUGAGGGGGGCUGCUCCUAGUACGAGAGGACCGGAGUGGACGCAUCACUGGUGUUCGGGUUGUCAUGCCAAUGGCACUGCCCGGUAGCUAAAUGCGGAAGAGAUAAGUGCUGAAAGCAUCUAAGCACGAAACUUGCCCCGAGAUGAGUUCUCCCUGAGACUUUAAGUCUCCUGAAGGAACGUU
rnacentral:rRNA from 1 species